GGCAGGGUAGCCAAGAUGGUCACGGCGACUGACUGAAAAUCAGUAGAUCUCGGUUCGAGUCCGAGUCCUGCCA
rnacentral:tRNA from 1 species